rnacentral:rRNA from 1 species
CAGUAGCCGCGGUAAAACGGAGGGGGCUAGCGUUGUUCGGAAUUACUGGGCGUAAAGCGCACGUAGGCGGCUUGGUAAGUUAGAGGUGAAAGCCCGGAGCUCAACUCCGGAAUUGCCUUUAAGACUGCCGAGCUAGUAGGUGAGAGAGGUAAGUGGAAUUCCGAGUGUAGAGGUGAAAUUCGUAGAUAUUCGGAAGAACACCAGUGGCGAAGGCGGCUUACUGGCUCAUUCUAGACGCUGAGGUGCGAAAGCGUGGGGAGCAAACAGGAUUAGAUACCCGCGUAGUCCCUGUCUCUUAUAC